ACAGGUGCUGCAUGGCUGUCGUCAGCUCGUGUCGUGAGAUGUUGGGUUAAGUCCCGUAACGAGCGCAACCCUUGUCCUUAGUUGCCAUCAUUUAGUUGGGGACUCUAAGGAGACUGCCGGUGACAAACCGGAGGAAGGCGGGGACGACGUCAAGUCAUCAUGGCCCUUACGAGUAGGGCUACACACGUGCUACAAUGGCAAGUACAGAGGGCCGCAAAGCCGCGAGGUGGAGCUAAUCUCACAAAGCUUGUCGUAGUCCGGAUUGGAGUCUGCAACUCGACUCCAUGAAGUCGGAAUCGCUAGUAAUCGUGAAUCAGAAUGUCACGGUGAAUACGUUCCCGGGCCUUGUACACACCGCCCGUCACACCAUGGGAGUGGAUUGCA
rnacentral:rRNA from 1 species